CAGUAGCCACGGUAAUACGAGGGGGGCAAGCGUUGUUCGGAAUUAUUGGGCGUAAAGGGUGCGUAGGCGGUUUGAUAAGUCUUGUGUGAAAUCUCUGGGCUCAACCCAGAGUCUGCACAGGAAACUGUCGGGCUUGAGUAUUGGAGAGGUGAGUGGAAUUUCCGGUGUAGCGGUGAAAUGCGUAGAUAUCGGAAGGAACACCUGUGGCGAAAGCGGCUCACUGGACAAUUACUGACGCUGAUGCACGAAAGCUAGGGGAGCAAACAGGAUUAGAGACCCCCGUAGUCCCUGUCUCUUAUAA
rnacentral:rRNA from 1 species